rnacentral:lncRNA from 1 species
AAAACCCUAGCCUCCAUCACAGAUUUUUGAAGGGGCUUCCAUCGGUUUCUACCGGUGGAAAGCCCCGAUUUCUUCUUUUUUUCUACUUUCUUGUUUUGAAAUCUUAUUUUUCAUUCAAUAAGUUCCCAAUUUAUUUGGGUUUUGUUAGUCUCUCCAUCUUGUGAGAGUUGGUUUGUUUUGUUUUGGUGUGUUUUGAUGUUUUCCAUGACCGAGGUUAUAGAUCGGCAUGAUUUUCAUGGGUUUGAUUCAGGUUUGAAGGUUAUUAUGGGAUCGCAUCUAUGGUCGAUUGUUCAGAACAUUCAGGUGAAAACCAAUCAGAUGGGAACAAAUGUAUAUAUUCAAAUCAUCUUCAAAUCGCUUAGUUGCCUCUCCAAGAAAGAAGGAUUCAACAGCGAUAUUCUUCAGCGUCUGUCC